CUACGUGCCAGCAGCCGCGGUAAUACGUAGGUGGCAAGCGUUGUCCGGAAUUAUUGGGCGUAAAGCGCGCGCAGGCGGAUUGGUCAGUCUGUCUUAAAAGUUCGGGGCUUAACCCCGUGAUGGGAUGGAAACUGCCAAUCUAGAGUAUCGGAGAGGAAAGUGGAAUUCCUAGUGUAGCGGUGAAAUGCGUAGAUAUUAGGAAGAACACCAGUGGCGAAGGCGACUUUCUGGACGAAAACUGACGCUGAGGCGCGAAAGCCAGGGGAGCGAACGGGAUUAGAUACCCCGGUAGUCCUGGCCGUAAACGAUGGGUACUAGGUGUAGGAGGUAUCGACCCCUUCUGUGCCGGAGUUAACGCAAUAAGUACCCCGCCUGGGGAGUACGACCGCAAGGUUGAAACUCAAAGGAAUUGACGGGGGCCCGCACAAGCGGUGGAGUAUGUGGUUUAAUUCGAUGCAACGCGAAGAACCUUACCUACUCUUGACAUUCAGAGAACAUUC
rnacentral:rRNA from 1 species